rnacentral:lncRNA from 1 species
UGCAUAUAUUAGGCGCGAGCGUAAAUUUUGAUCAAAGCAGAAGGGCGUUAUCGCGAAGCUGACGUCUGCUAGGCCUGUGGAUUUGCACAGGUAGGCUGCAGCAUGGAGCCAACAAGAGAAUUGCUUGUUCAGUGGAAAAAAGAUGGCUCCAAAAAACGUGGUAGUGUAUGGAGAUAGAUUCAAUGUCCCUGUAUUCCAAUAAAAGGGACAAAAGUCUUCAUGCCUUGGAAAGGCAGGAGAUGGGAGGGAGUUGUCCUGUCAGUGGAUGAUGAGUCUGAGGAAAGUGAUGAUGACAGCAUACCAGAUCAACCAAGGCUUGACGUUGGAGAUGUCGGUGUCGGUGUCAGAAUGACAGACCAUGGACCUCUACCAGAUCAACCAAGGCUUGACGUUGGAGAUGUCGGGUCACAAUGACAGACAUGCCUCAUUGAAGUUCAAAUGUGUCAACAUUUCAUAUGUUUACAUGAAGUGUUUAGUACAUGCUCCCAGUGUCUUGUUUCCCUGUGUGAACACCACUUCAAAGAGGACGAACCAUGUGCAAACCACAAUAACUAUGCUCAUCUACUUCAAAUUCCGGAGAGGUUUUCAGAAGAUCAUCCAGCGAUCGACACAGUUCUGGAAUUGAUGACGGUUGUUCCCUUAGCAAUCGAAGUGCAGGAGACAGUUGACAUAGUUUCAAGUUAUCCAAGCAGACAGUGAAGAAUAAGAGAGCCAGGAAACGUAUUGCAGAUCCCAACAGCUGCUACAGUUUCACUUAUUGUCAUACUUUUUUGUAUCGCCUUUGAUAAUGCUGAAAUAUUGUUCAAGUAUUUUCUCUUAUGUUAACUUACUGCACAGUACGUUAACUGUAGAAUACACAAAGUUCUUUAAGAGCUACCAUGUUGUAAUUUCUGCCAUGAACAUGUGCUACAGUUUCACUUAUUGUCAUACAAUUUUGUUUAUUUGCCUUUGAUAAUGCUGAUAUAUUGUUUAAGUAUUUUCUCUUUUGUAAACUUACUGCACAGUUUUUUAAACUAUGCUACAAAAGCUCACUAGAGCUAGAACAGAUUCAACGCAGAAUACAAAACUUUCUUUUGAGAGCUACCAUGUUGUUCUUUCUGCCAUGAGCAUGUGCUACAGAUAAGUUCCAAUUUUUAUCUUUAAUCAUGAUUCAUUAUGAUUGAUCAAUUUUGAAUGAUUGUACAUGGAAUUGUAAAAUGAACUGUACAAAAAGGAUUCCAGUUAUAUUGCAAAGGAAUAAAUUCAGUCAUAACCAUGACAGAAUUGUUCAUCUUAA